rnacentral:rRNA from 1 species
UACGAAGGGGACUAGCGUUGUUCGGAAUUACUGGGCGUAAAGGGCGCGUAGGCGGCCUACUAAGUCAGACGUGAAAUCCCCCGGCUUAACCUGGGAACUGCGUCUGAUACUGGAAGGCUUGAGGAUGGGAGAGGGAUGUAGAAUUCCAGGUGUAGCGGUGAAAUGCGUAGAUAUCUGGAGGAAUACCGGUGGCGAAGGCUGCAUCCUGGACCAUUACUGACGCUGAGGCGCGAAAGCUAGGGGAGCAAACGGG